UUUCCCUUUCCCCAGCCCUGAGCAGGGCCUGGCACUGAGUGGAGCUGGCUUCCCUGGGAUGCUUGGGGCCUUGCCUCUCCCUCUGAGUCUGGGGCAGCCUCCACCUUCUCCAUUGCUCAACCACAGUUUAUUUGGUGUGCUGACUGGGGGAGGAGGACAACCUCCCCCUGAGCCCCUGCUACCCCCACCAGGAGGACCUGGUCCUCCCCUAGCCCCAGGAGAGCCUGAAGGGCCUUCGCUUUUGGUGGCUUCCUUGCUUCCUCCACCACCCUCAGACCUUCUUCCACCUCCUUCAGCACCUCCCAGCAACCUCCUUGCCUCUUUCCUGCCCCUGUUGGCUCUGGGCCCCACAGCUGGGGAUGGGGAGGGAUCUGCAGAGGGAGCCGGGGGUCCAAGUGGGGAGCCAUUUUCAGGCUUGGGAGACCUGUCCCCCCUACUUUUCCCCCCACUUUCAGCCCCCCCUACCCUCAUAGCUUUAAAUUCUGCGCUGCUGGCUGCCACCCUGGAUCCCCCCUCGGGGACACCCCCCCAGCCCUGUGUCCUGAGUGCCCCCCAACCUGGACCACCUACCUCCAGUGUCACCACGGCAACUACUGACCCGGGGGCCUCCUCUCUGGGCAAGGCCCCCUCCAACUCAGGGAGACCCCCCCAACUCCUUAGCCCUCUGCUGGGUGCCAGCCUGCUGGGUGUGACCUGUCUUCACUGACCAGCAGCCCUGGAGCCCUCCCCAGCCUGUUGCAGCCUCCUGGCCCUCUUCUCUCUGGCCAGUUGGGGCUGCAGCUCCUCCCUGGGGGGGGAGCUCCUCCACCCCUCUCAGAGGCUUCUAGUCCCCUAGCCUGCCUGCUACAGAGUCUCCAGAUCCCUCCAGAGCAGCCAGAAGCCCCCUGUCUACCCCCCGAGAGCCCUGCCUCAGCCCUCGAACCAGAGCCUGCCAGGCCUCCCCUCAGUGCCUUAGCCCCACCCCAUGGUUCUCCC
rnacentral:lncRNA from 1 species